rnacentral:rRNA from 1 species
AUUGAACGCUGGCGGCAUGCCUUACACAUGCAAGUCGAACGGUAACAGGUCUACGGAUGCUGACGAGUGGCGAACGGGUGAGUAAUACAUCGGAACGUGCCUAGUAGUGGGGGAUAACUACUCGAAAGAGUGGCUGAUACCGCAUGAGAUCUACGGAUGAAAGCAGGGGAUCGCAAGACCUUGUGCUACUAGAGCGGCCGAUGGCAGAUUAGGUAGUUGGUGGGAUAAAAGCUUACCAAGCCGACGAUCUGUAGCUGGUCUGAGAGGACGAUCAGCCACACUGGGACUGAGACACGGCCCAGACUCCUACGGGAGGCAGCAGUGGGGAAUUUUGGACAAUGGGCGAAAGCCUGAUCCAGCAAUGCCGCGUGCAGGAUGAAGGCCUUCGGGUUGUAAACUGCUUUUGUACGGAACGAAAAGCCCCGGGUUAAUACCCUGGGGUCAUGACGGUACCGUAAGAAUAAGCACCGGCUAACUACGUGCCAGCCGCCGCGGUAA